UCACAUGUCCAGGUAGAGACCAGGUGGAG
rnacentral:piRNA from 1 species